AGAGCGAACGCUGGCGGCAGGCCUAACACAUGCAAGUCGAGCGGCCGUAGCAAUACGGCAGCGGCAGACGGGAGAGUAACACGUGGGAACGCGCCCUUCGGUUCGGGAUAACUCAGGGAAACUUGGGCUAAUACCGGAUACGCCCUUACGGGGAAAGAUUUAUUGCCGAAGGAACGGCCCGCGUCCGAUUAGCUUGUUGGUGAGGUAACGGCUCACCAAGGCGACGAUCGGUAGCUGGUCUGAGAGGAUGACCAGCCUCACUGGGACUGAGACACGGCCCAGACUCCUACGGGAGGCAGCAGUGGGGAAUAUUGGACAAUGGGCGCAAGCCUGAUCCAGCCAUGCCGCGUGGGUGAUGAAGGCCCUAGGGUUGUAAAGCCCUUUCAGCGGGGAAGAUAAUGACGGUACCGCAGAAGAAGCCCGGCUAACUUCGCGCCAGCAGCCGC
rnacentral:rRNA from 1 species